GCGGCCCCGGGCUGGGCUCGGCAGCGGGCGGCCAUGGGGCUGGUGCCCCCCCCAGGGGGCCGGCGGUGCCCGAGCCGUGUCUGUGCACACGGGCGGGGGUUUUUUUCCAGACCGGCUCCUGUCGGUCGUAGCAGCGGCGCAGCGCCGCGGGGACGGGGCUCCCCCGGCCGCAGCCGCCGGCCGCAGCCGCCGGCCGCACCUGCGAAUUGGGAAAACCUGGGCGAAGGCUCCUGAUUGAUUCCCGGUGGCUGCAGGGGAACAUCGAGGAGGACUAGGUUCGUUACGGGGGACCGGGCCUGGGCAGCGUCCGCCCCGGCGCACCCCGCGGAGCCAGAGCCGCUGCGGGCGGAGCAACGAGACCGCAGGGGAGCAGCUGAGCGGCAGAAAGGCUCAGCUCGGGCCGGGGUGAGGAGCACGGCCCCGGCGCAGGGACACGGGAGGAUGAGUUGGGCGAGGAGCCCGGCCCGGACACGGGGGGCACCGGGGGACGCCGGCACGGGAGGAGAGGUCCGGUGAGCGCGCUGGAGCGGCCGUGCCGUCCUCCGGGGGUGCCCGGCGGGGCCAGGCACACAGGAACGCGCCUGGGCUGGGGAAGCUGGGCCUGGCUGCGGUUGAGGAGGAGGAAAAUACACCGUGCUUGUGGCUUCUGGUACCGGUCGUGUUGCGGGGCCGUUUGGGGCUGUCGUGGCUGCACUUCGCAUCUCCCUUGUGCUUGGCAGGAAAAUGAUUUUGCUUGUGCUUUCUGGUUGUGUUGCGUGUCCUGCUGCAGGGCGGUUUGGGGCUGUGCCCCACGGUUCUGGGACCAGCUGCUGAGCGAGGCUCAGGUGCUGGCGCUGCCCCAGGGCGGCUUCUCUCCACACCAUCAGUGACCACCUGUGCUGGCGUGGCUCUUGGCCACAGCCGGGCUGGGGACAGCCCUGCCUUGUUCCCUUGUGGGGGCUCCUGCUUGUUCUGGACCCCUCCUGAAACCCACGUGGCUUUGUUCGGCAGUAGUUGGUGUUUGGCACUGGGCAGGGUAGUGCUGUGCCAGGCUGGGCAGGAACGGCCCAUCCUCAGCUCCACUAUUCCUCGGUGUUGUCUUGUGCCUGAAACACAGGUGGGUUUCAGCAAGGUGUGCGUUCUCGCUUGCUCUUCUGGGGAGGAAUGUGUAUUUUUGGGUUAAGCCCUGAGCUCUCCCGUCCCCACGGCCCCUGUGCAGUGCUGGGCGCCCUCCUCCUGUGGAUUAUGCGGGGCUGGGCUGUGCACCCCAACUGACGGGUUCUGCUCCCCUUGUGCAGGUACAGAGGAGACACAGAUGCUGCCUUGCCUGUGCCCGGGAGAGUCACUUCAUGCAGAGGGGGGUACCUGGCAUGGACUUAAUCUCCAAGGGAAGAGAUGGGGCUCCCCAAAAGAUGACUCGCUGUACAGAUCCAGCUGAUGGCUCGUUACAGCUCCAGGUGACUUCAGCACUAGCCCUGAGCUAUUCCUGCUAAUUGAUAGUUAUGCUUUCCUAUUACAGCUGCAGAUGUAAGCACUGUUCUCCCUGACAGAGGCUAGGGACAGCAGAUGCUCCCCUCUUCGACCAUGCUGAGGGCACAGCCCUGCCUGAUGGACAUCAUGGCUUGUUACAGCUCCAGCUGUUCCUACUCAAGGGUACCUGAAGCCCCAAGUAAUUUUGACUCCUAGCUACUGGACAAUCCAGUAUGUUGUAGCUCUGCCUUGUUUCAGUUUGAGGUAAUUUCAUGUCCAGCUUGUUGAAGCUCCAGCCUUGGUGAUGAGAUGUUCUGGCUCUGGCUGCAGGAUGCUCCUGCUGAUGAAGUUCCAAUCCUGGUGAUGAGAUGCUCCUGCAUCAUACAGCGCUGGCUUAAUAAAUGUUCUGUCUUCUUUCAAGCCAAUUAAAGCUCUAGCUCAUUGCAGUAAUCGGGGCUUUUGGCCAGGUCGUAAAUCAAUCACUGUCAUGGCUUGUACAUAAAUACGAACUGUCAUAAUUGUACAUUGUCUAAAUAUUGAAUAACUGUUCUGGUGGUCGUACCCACCUUGAAUAAACAGUUGGACUCUCAA